rnacentral:sRNA from 1 species
GUUCUCCAGUAACAAA